rnacentral:rRNA from 1 species
GAUGACCUCGGAUCAGGUAGGAAU